AGAGCUUGCAGCCUUCUGAAGUGGUUUGGUGUUACUCUGUAUGGGCAGAGCCUGAAGCCUUCUGAUGAGGCUAGUUUGGAACAUUAUGUCAGUGUUUGGUCUGGUGGCGCAUCCUGUCCUCUUGCAUCUUAACAUCACGCAGUGUCCUUCACAGGUUUAACAGCCCACACAAAGAAGAUUGCAAAAGCUGAAUCCAUCUUGACCCCAGUUCCCCAAAACAACCAAAGAUUUCUGCAGAAAUUCCAAGGAGUUGAAAUAUUUUUCCAGAAGCCAUUGGGAGAUGGGUAUAAUGAGAAGUAAGGAUUUUGUAGAGGUAAAAGCAAUUUCAGAUCUCACAUUCAUGGACAGGAUGUGACUUCAACAUCAUGAUUUGUUCAUUGGUGCUGAGCUGCCAGCAUGCUUCUGUCUGGGCUCUGGGCAGAUAGGGACAGUCAGGCACCAGGACUGGACACUUGAGGUCUGAAGACAAGGUCCUGGCAACUGUUUGCUGGUGACCAGAACCCCUGUGGGCAGAAUGAUCUGUGUAAAAGUAAGCUUUAUUCUUACUAGUAAGACUUUUCAGAUUCCCUUUGUUACAAUUACAUUCACAACAUGAGUGGAGACAUGCUGCUAAGACUAAACUUGAUGCUUGCACUGUAUUAUAAUAAAAAUUUAAGAUAA